UUAAUUGAAACCAAAAAGAGGUCUAUCACUGUUAAUGAUAAAAAUGAAUAAAUUUAUUCCAAUUAAG
rnacentral:tRNA from 1 species